rnacentral:rRNA from 1 species
CCUACGGGAGACUGCAGUGAGGAAUAUUGGUCAAUGGACGGAAGUCUGAACCAGCCAUGCCGCGUGCAGGAUGACGGCUCUAUGAGUUGUAAACUGCUUUUGUACAAGGGUAAACCUCAAUACGUGUAUUCUGCUGAAUGUCCUGUACGAAUAAGGAUCGGCUAACUCCGUGCCAGCAGCCGCGGUAAUACGGAGGGUCCAAGCGUUAUCCGGAUUUAUUGGGUUUAAAGGGUGCGUAGGCGGAUUGUUAAGUUAGAGGUGAAAUGUUCGAGCUUAACUCGGGAACUGCCGCUGAUACUGUUGAUCUGGAGAGUGGAUGAGGUAGGCGGAAUGUGUGGUGUAGCGGUGAAAUGCUUAGAGAUCAUGCAGAACACCGAUUGCGAAGGCAGCUUACCAAACUAUAACUGACGUUGAGGCACGAAAGCGUGGGGAGCAAACAGGAUUAGAUACCCUAGUAGUC